rnacentral:lncRNA from 1 species
AAUAAUACAUAAUUCUUGAGCAAAUUAUGGGUAUAUAAGUGUUGUAUCUCAAUCCUAAAUAUAUAGUAAGAAUAAAGCUUUCUGUACAUACACAACCUCUACGACUACUCUUCAUAUCUCUAAACAUAUUUUUUGCAAUUCUUCUGGAACUAUAAUAUAUAGGAAUAACAAUUUAACAAAACAACAACUACAGCAAAGGCCGGCUUUACUUAGGAGUAAGGUUGAUAAUUUUGGUAAGAAUACAAAAGCGUGCAAGGAGAAGGGAAGAAAUACUUAUGAUGCUGAUAGUCGAUAGAGAACUGAAUAAAAUGCCUAAAAUAACGUCGCCUUUUG